UGUUUAAUGGGAUAUUGGGGACAAAAAAUCUGAAUUCCUCUCUCUAAAUGGACACACGUCAGGCUUUGAAAGGGGAGAAUAAAAAAAUAGAUUCUCACCCACUAAAUACUCUCCUCUCUCCAACGGUUACAAAAAGAAAAAAAAAAAAAGAAAAAACUAUCCACACACUCACGCGUCCUUUGGGGCUCUGUCCACUGACUCACCACUCUUCUCUCUUAUCUCUCAGCAUAAAAGAGAAGAAAGGAAAAGGCAAGGGAGGCGGAAUCACUUCACUCCCUCUUUGAUAUCUCUGACACGAUACCAAAAAAAAGAAGAAAGAAAUUUGGAAAAAUCUCUAACUCACUCAUGACUCCUACUCUCUCUCUCUCUCUCUCUCUCUCUCUCUCUCACACACACACACACACACUAAAAAAAAGCAACAGGAAAAGAAAAAAAGAG
rnacentral:lncRNA from 1 species